rnacentral:lncRNA from 1 species
CUCCCCUCCGCGCCUUUAUUAUUAUUCGCGAUUCUUAUUCCACCCUGUAAUGUUGCAUGAAGACAAAAACGCAAAUUAGAGCAUUUUCUAGGAUUGAAUUCUUCGAUCGAAGUUAUUAUUCAACGGCCACUCAAAUGGUGGUCCGUUAAGACUAACUUUUCCAUGCAAGUAUGCGACAACUCUACAUUCAAAAAAAACAUGCAACCAGCCAAAUAGCUCACCCGGAGUAAAUCAGAGUAUUCCAGCAAUGCACGAAUCCCAAUUUAUCAGCUCGUUCAACGCUCCAAUUCUAGCAGUCCUCUAAAUCUAAGGUUGAGAUCCAAGCAUUAAAGUAUUCACAGACUGCGGAGCAAGUAAAGCCUACGGCAAAACCCGUGCAGCUUUUAUCCCAAAACGUCCCUAGCUAAAAAUACCGUGUAUUUAGAUACACAACCUCAGCACCUAGACUUUCUUCUCAUAAUCAUUAUGAACAGCGCACAGUCUAACAAGCAUUAACCCCGUAGGUGUCAGACUGUCAGCCAACAAAAAGAAUACUAGUUGAGGUAGUG